UACAGAGGUCUCAAGCGUUGUUCGGAUUCAUUGGGCGUAAAGGGUGCGUAGGUGGCGCGCUAAGUCAGGUGUGAAAUUUCGGAGCUCAACUCCGAAACUGCAUUUGAUACUGGCGUGCUUGAGGACUGGAGAGGAGACUGGAAUUUACGGUGUAGCAGUGAAAUGCGUAGAGAUCGUAAGGAAGACCAGUGGCGAAGGCGAGUUUCUGG
rnacentral:rRNA from 1 species